rnacentral:rRNA from 1 species
ACUCAAAUGAAUAGACGGGGGCCCGCACAAGCAGUGGAGUAUGUGGUUUAAUUCGAAGCAACGCGAAGAACCUUACCAGGGCUUGACAUCUUCCGCAUAGCAUAGAGAUAUGCGAAACCCUUCGGGGCGGAAUGACAGGUGGUGCAUGGUUGUCGUCAGCUCGUGUCGUGAGAUGUUGGGUUAAGUCCCGCAACGAGCGCAACCCCUAUUGUUAGUUGCCAUCAUUAAGUUGGGCACUCUAGCGAGACUGCCGGUGACAAAUCGGAGGAAGGUGGGGACGACGUCAAAUCAUCAUGCCCCUUAUGUCCUGGGCUACACACGUACUACAAUGGCCAUCAACAACGGGACGCGAAGCCGCGAGGCGGAGCCAAACCCCAAAAAUGGUCUCAGUUCGGAUCGCAGGCUGCAACUCGCCUGCGUGAAGUCGGAAUUGCUAGUAAUCGCGGAUCAUCAUGCCGCGGUGAAUACGUUCCCGGGCCUUGUACACACCGCCCGU